UCGCCACCGGGCGGCGCAAGGAGCGGCUCGAUGCUCUGGUCGCCGAACUCGGCGCCGACAAGGUGCAUCCCUGCGUGUUCGACGUGCGCGACGGUGAA
rnacentral:tRNA from 1 species